rnacentral:piRNA from 1 species
UGAGCUCCCUGCUAGGUGUGGAUGGUGAAUU